GCCGGAGUGGUGUAAUUGGCAGCCACGCCAGGUUUAGGACCUGGUGGGGGAAACCCCGUGGAGGUUCGAGUCCUCUCUCCGGCA
rnacentral:tRNA from 1 species